rnacentral:rRNA from 1 species
CCCUAUGGGGUGCAGCAGGCGAGAAAACUUUGCAAUGUGCGCAAGCACGACAAGGUUAAUCCGAGUGUUUCCUGCUAAAGGAAUCUUUUGUUAGUUUUAAAACCACUAUUGAAUAAGGGGUGGGCAAGUUCUGGUGUCAGCCGCCGCGGUAAAACCAGCACCUCAAGUGGUCAGGAGGAUUAUUGGGCCUAAAGCAUCCGUAGCCUGUUCUGUAAGUUUCCGGUUAAAUCCAUUAGCUCAACUAAUGGGCUGCCGAAAAUACUGCAGAACUAGGGAGUGGGAGAGGUAGACGGUACUCGGUAGGAAGGGGUAAAAUCCUUUGAUCUAUUGAUGACCACCUGUGGCGAAGGCGGUCUACCAGAACACGUUCGACGGUGAGGGAUGAAAGCUGGGGGAGCAAACCGGAUUAGAUACCCGGGUAGUCCCAGCUGUAAACGAUGCAGACUCGGUGAUGCGCUGGCUUGUGGCCAGUGCAGUGCCGCAGGGAAGCCGUUAAGUUUGCCGCCUGGGAAGUACGUACGCAAGUAUGAAACUUAAAGGAAUUGGCGGGGGAGCACCACAAGGGGUGAAGCCUGCGGUUCAAUUGGAGUCAACGCCGGAAAACUCACCGGAGGCGACUGUUACAUGAAAGUCAGCUGAUGACCUUACUCGAUUUUCAGAGAGGA